rnacentral:lncRNA from 1 species
UAUUGCAAUAUUUCUAGGGAUGUGAGGAUGCAUUGUUUGACUACCUCAAAGAUCACAUGGCAAUCGUCGGCGGGCUGGCCGCUGGCGUGGCUGUUAUUCAGGUAUAUUACACCCUUAAAUAACAGUCCCUUUUAAAAAAUUAGCCUGGUAAUGCAUAAAAUAUAAACUAAUGGAGUUGUGCAAGGUAGCUAGUUUUCGAAUCGGCCAAUAGACCUUUCGGCUUUCCCCUUAUGAGUGAAAUUUUGAUCUAGAUAUGCCUGGACAAAAAUUUCAUCAGCUUGAAACUCAGUUGAGUUACUAUUUUAUUGUGCUUGUGUGAUGUUACUCUGAGUGUAUAUCCACACCGGGCAGGCUUGAAAAAUAUGCUUGGCCACGGUGGGAUUCGAACCUACGACCUUUGGAAUACUAGCCCAUUGCUCUGCCAACUGAGCUACGCGGUCAGGUCGGUUCGAGUAUGCGAUAUUUCGGAACUGAGUCUAGUUCCUUCGAUAUCAGUGUAAUCUAAUAAUCAUAAAUUCACCUGAGUACAUUACACCAACACAGCAAAUUUCAUGAUUAUUAGAUUACACUGAUAUCGAAGGAACUAGACUCAGUUCCGAAAUAUAUCACAUACUCGAACCGACCUGACCGCGUAGCUCAGUUGGCAGAGCAAAUGGGCUAGUAUUCCAAAGGUCGUAGGUUCGAAUCCCACCGUGGCCAGGCAUAUUUUUCAAGCCUACCCGGUGUGGAUGUACACUCAGAGUAACAUCACACAAGCAUCUUAUUCACCCGAGUACAUUACUCCAACACAGCAAAUUACUAUUUUAUUGUUUUCAAUUACAGAUUAUCGGCAUUGUGUUCGCCUGUCUUGUGCGCCGUGACGUGAAAGAAGGCUACGGUUAUGUGUAAUUCUAUACAUUAAAAAUAACUUUGUUAGAACUGACUCAAUUGUACACUGCACAAGCAAUCAUUUGUAUAUCCUCGUUAAUUUGUAGUAAUAUAGCUUAUGACGUAGACAGUGUGUAUUUGGGCUUUAUUACAUACACGACUAGUCGUGAUUUCAAUAUUUUUUGAAAUAAUAACUUAUAUAAUAACUUAAUACGAUACAGGUACUAUAUCUUGAUUUAACUAAAGAUUUUGAAUGGCAUGGUCCUCAUAUUAAAUAGUGAAAAUUAUAUUAACAAUCGUAUACUCGUGUGAGUAAUUUCCAAUAAGAAACGGUACUUCCUAUAACCGUGUUUCCUGAAGGUGGGCUUGGCCAUCCAGGAAAUAUUGUUUGCUAGUCAUAUUUGGAAUUUUUUGUUACCUAGUCGUAUGUUUAGGAUGUGGACAAACCAGGAAGCAUUGUUCUGCCUGGAUGAAAAGAGGAUGAGAGUUUGUCAGUCAUGCGAACCUGGUUAGCUGUUCUUCAUACUUUCCCUCGUGUAUUCUAUUUAAGUUCAGUAAAACAUAGGUGGAACACUCCAUGUUUCCAGAAGAUGGUCAUAACAAAUGAGGAAACAUUGUUUGAUAGCCAUUUGUUUGGAAACAUUUGUUUGGAAACAUUGUUAAAGUGUACUGAAUUAGCAUUUCUCGCGAAGGCCAAAAUCCGCUAUUUUGUGGUACUGUCUGCCCUGGUAAAAGUUCUAAAUGGGCAGAAUCGCAAAAAUAGCGGGAAAAUCGGCCGUGAGAAAGGCUAAUUGAACCUUGUCCAUUCCAUUUUAAUACCGAACCUCUGGGGAGGGGGGGGAGGGGG